rnacentral:rRNA from 1 species
UGGGGGAUAUUGCACAAUGGGCGAAAGCCUGAUGCAGCGACGCCGCGUGGGGGAUGAAGGCCUUCGGGUUGUAAACUUCUUUUGCUCUGAACAAGGCGCACCAUGGGGUGUGUUGAGCGUAGGGGUUGAUUAGCGCCGGCUAACUACGUGCCAGCAGCCGCGGUAAUACGUAGGGCGCGAGCGUUGUCCGGAAUUAUUGGGCGUAAAGGGCUUGUAGGUGGGUGGUUGCGUCUGUCGUGAAAGCUCAUGGCUUAACUGUGGGUUUGCGGUGGGUACGGGCUGGCUUGAGUGCAGUAGGGGAGGCUGGAAUUCCUGGUGUAGCGGUGGAAUGCGCAGAUAUCAGGAGGAAUACCGGUGGCGAAGGCGGGUCUCUGGGCUGUUACUGACACUGAGGAGCGAAAGCAUGGGGAGCGAACAGG